UUUGUCCAUGCCAGCAACACGACAAACUUUCUUUUAACCAAAUGUAACUUAUCGUAGUCCACACAUUUGCGCAAUAACCAUUCAGGAUGCGGAGGGGAAGUAGGAAGUUAGGGAUUUUUGCUGCUCACCGAAUCCCAAGAAGCACAUGAAUGUCAGGACAACCACUCGGUGCAGCAGGUGGCUGGGGUCGCAGAUGGCCGGCAUCGGUCUGCCUCUGUCUGUCUGUCUGCCGGUGGACGAGCCCUCGUCCUCAUCUCCCAACAGACUCCGCCGCUCUUCGUAGUCCGCCAUGUUCGUUUGUUUGGGAUUUGCUGGGGGAAAAGUCGACGGCAGCGAGGAGCAGCGUAGACCAAUCACAUGACCCGGCACUGGGCAGGUCACGUGGCGUUAGCCUUGAGAGAGCAGCACAUCCGGGUACUGGGUGGAAGCAGCCCCUCUAAUUUUCUGGUGGUGAAAGCAAAUUCCGAGUUCUUUGCCAGGGUAGCUGCAUUCAAAUGGGAGGGAUCAAGUCCUGCAGUUGUGUUAGUGCUCAUGUCAACUCGUGAGAUGGCAGAGAUGACAGCCUUUAGGUCAUGGAAAUAAGUAUCUAAGCAUUGACCUAGUUAACUGGUUUCCUGAUGUUCUGUAAGCUAUACUAGCCAGUGUUUUAUUUUCUUCAUAGAGGCAGCUGUGCCUAAUAUGCCUUUACCCAGUUCACUGUCAAAUUGUUUGUAGCCAAAAGGCUGCACAGGUGCCAAUGGUCAGGUACACUAUUUACCUUCAUGCACUUUAAAUAAUUUAACGUCUCUUUUUUUUUGCAGUUGAAUUGCAAAAAAAAUUACAUGUUGUUCUCAGUAAGUAAUGCUGUAGCGUACAGGUUUUCGCCUUUUAGUUUACUACAUUAUUUUCAAGCUGAAAGCUUUCUUUUGUAUUAUGGUAUGGCUCAGUCUUACUGCAUUUCUCUGUUCAAGCGGGAACAAGUAGACAUUUUCAGCUAUCUCUGAAUGCACUAUUUGGCUUUUCUCUCUACUUUGACUUUAUGAAUGUCAAAGUUAAGUCUACUUUGUUUUUGCAUGUUGUUCUUUUUGUACCUGUUAUGAUCUAUAAUGUAAAUCCUCCAUUUCAAAUAAAGUGUUUGUUUGAGAAAAGUGA